rnacentral:rRNA from 1 species
UACGUAGGGACCAAGCGUUGUUCGGAUUUACUGGGCGUAAAGGGCGCGUAGGCGGCAUAUUAAGUCAGCUGUGAAAUCUCCGAGCUUAACUCGGAACUGUCAGCUGAUACUGAUGUGCUAGAGUGCAGAAAGGGCAAUCAGAAUUCUUGGUGUAGCGGUGAAAUGCGUAGAUAUCAAGAGGAAUACCUGAGGCGAAGGCGGGUUGCCAGGCUGACACUGACGCUGAGGCGCGAAAGCCAGGGGAGCAAACGGG